AACAGUCUGUUCAACUUUAUAGGAUAUAGAUUUCAUAGCGUCUUGCUAAAAAUAAGAGACAUACACAUUUCUUUGAAAAGACAAGACGUUUUGGGGAAAAUUAAAGUGUAGAUUAUUAAAACGCCCAAGUCAUUCAGUACAAUGCCUUAUGAAACUAUGAAACCCUCUUCUAUUAGAAGGUGUUACACCCCGUUCCAUGAACAAGACAAGUUAAUGACGUCUGGUUUGUUCACUAUGAUGGAAUGGUUAGACAAUUGGAAUGUGAACCAAACCAAAAAUUACCGUUGCUCAAGGGAGUUGUUUUCAUUCUUGUGACACCAACAACAGUUCAAUUACGAAUAUUUUAACCUGCGUCAUACUUACAAUAGACAGGUGAUAUAUAAGGUUCAGCAGCAGACUGGUUAACCAAGAGUUAGAGGAGAAGCAGGACAGGAUUAGAGGAACGUUUUGAAAUCAGCUGCUGCUUUGGGUCAAACAAUAAAAAUGGGGGAUAAAGGAAUCUUGAUAAUUCUACUCAUACUAAAAGCAAGUACAAC